rnacentral:rRNA from 1 species
GACGAACGCUGGCGGCGUGCUUAACACAUGCGAGUCGAACGGAAAGGCCCUGCUUUUGUGGGGUGCUCGAGUGGCGAACGGGUGAGUAACACGUGAGUAACCUGCCCUUGACUUUGGGAUAACUUCAGGAAACUGGGGCUAAUACCGGAUAGGAGCUCCUGCUGCAUGGUGGGGGUUGGAAAGUUUCGGCGGUUGGGGAUGGACUCGCGGCUUAUCAGCUUGUUGGUGGGGUAGUGGCUUACCAAGGCUUUGACGGGUAGCCGGCCUGAGAGGGUGACCGGCCACAUUGGGACUGAGAUACGGCCCAGACUCCUACGGGAGGCAGCAAUGGGGAAUAUUGCACAAUGGGCGGAAGCCUGAUGCAGCAACGCCGCGUGCGGGAUGACGGCCUUCGGGUUGUAAACCGCUUUCGCCUGUGACGAAGCGUGAGUGACGGUAAUGGGUAAAGAAGCACCGGCUAACUACGUG